rnacentral:rRNA from 1 species
UACGUAGGGUGCGAGCGUUGUCCGGAUUUAUUGGGCGUAAAGAGCUCGUAGGCGGCUUGUCGCGUCGGAUGUGAAAGCCCGGGGCUUAACUCCGGGUCUGCAUUCGAUACGGGCAGGCUAGAGUGUGGUAGGGGAGAUCGGAAUUCCUGGUGUAGCGGUGAAAUGCGCAGAUAUCAGGAGGAACACCGGUGGCGAAGGCGGAUCUCUGGGCCGAUACUGACGCUGAGGAGCGAAAGCGUGGGGAGCGAACAGG